rnacentral:rRNA from 1 species
GACGAACGCUGGCGGCGUGCUUAACACAUGCGAGUCGAACGGUAAGGCCCUUCGGGGUACACGAGUGGCGAACGGGUGAGUAACACGUGGGUGAUCCGCCCUGCACUUCGGGAUAAGCCUGGGAAACUGGGUCUAAUACCGGAUAGGACUCCUGGCUUCAUGGUUGGGGGUGGAAAGCUUUUGCGGUGUGGGAUGGGCCCGCGGCCUAUCAGCUUGUUGGUGGGGUAAUGGCCUACCAAGGCGACGACGGGUAGCCGGCCUGAGAGGGUGACCGGUCACGCUGGGACUGAGAUACGGCCCAGACUCCUACGGGAGGCAGCAGUGGGGAAUAUUGCACAAUGGGCGCAAGCCUGAUGCAGCGACGCCGCGUGAGGGAUGACGGCCUUCGGGUUGUAAACCUCUUUCAGCUAUGACGAAGCGCAAGUGACGGUAGUAGCAGAAGAAGGACCGGCCAACUACGUGCCAGCCGCCGCAGUAA